rnacentral:rRNA from 1 species
UACGGGGGGAGCAAGCGUUGUUCGGAUUUACUGGGCGUAAAGGGCGCGUAGGCGGUCAGCACAAGUCAGUUGUGAAAUCUCCGGGCUUAACUCGGAAAGGUCAACUGAUACUGUGCGACUAGAGUGCGGAAGGGGCAACUGGAAUUCUCGGUGUAGAGGUGAAAUUCGUAGAUAUCGAGAGGAACACCGGUGGCGAAGGCGGCCAACUGGACGAACACUGACGCUGAGACACGAAAGCGUGGGGAGCAAACAGG